rnacentral:lncRNA from 10 species
GGUGCAGGAUCCAAGUGGGAUGGAACAACCAAUUCCUGCCCAUCCUCCUGCUCAAUAAUACAUGUGCUCAGAAUCUGUUCAUAAUGCAUGGUGAGACGGGAUCUCACUGUGUUGCCCAGGCUGGUCUCGAACUGCUGGACUCAAGUCAUCCUCCCAUCUUGGCCUCCCAAAGUGCUGGAAUUACAGUGGACAACCUUCAAUGCACUGGUACUUUGUACCCUGACCUCUACUGUGAUGAACACUCAACUUGGGCAAGGAAGUGAAAUUCUCCAAAGUCCCAGCACUUUGGGAGGCUGACGCAGGCGGAUUACUUGAGGCCAGGAGUUCGAGACCAGCCUGGCCAACAUGGUGAAACCCCUUCUCUACUAAAAAUACAAAAAAUUAGCCAGGCUUGGUGGCACACGCCUAUGGUUCCAGCUACUCGGGAGGCUGAGGCAGAAGAAUUGCUUGAACCCGGGAGGCGGAGGUUGCAGUGAGCCAAGGUUGUGCAACUGUACUCCAGCCUGGAUGACAGAGCGAGACUGCCUCAAAAAAAAAAAA